GAUUAAGUUAUUAAGGGCGCACGGUGGAUGCCUUGGCACUAGAAGCCGAUGAAGGACGUUACUAACGACGAUAUGCUUUGGGGAGCUGUAAGUAAGCUUUGAUCCAGAGAUUUCCGAAUGGGGAAACCCAGCAUGAGUUAUGUCAUGUUAUCGAUAUGUGAAUACAUAGCAUAUCAGAAGGCACACCCGGAGAACUGAAACAUCUUAGUACCCGGAGGAAGAGAAAGAAAAUUCGAUUCCCUUAGUAGCGGCGAGCGAAACGGGAAGAGCCCAAACCAACAAGCUUGCUUGUUGGGGUUGUAGGACACUCUAUACGGAGUUACAAAGGACGACAUUAGACGAAUCAUCUGGAAAGAUGAAUCAAAGAAGGUAAUAAUCCUGUAGUCGAAAAUGUUGUCUCUCUUGAGUGGAUCCUGAGUACGACGGAGCACGUGAAAUUCCGUCGGAAUCUGGGAGGACCAUCUCCUAAGGCUAAAUACUCUCUAGUGACCGAUAGUGAACCAGUACCGUGAGGGAAAGGUGAAAAGCACCCCGGAAGGGGAGUGAAAUAGAACCUGAAACCGUGUGCUUACAAGUAGUCAGAGCCCGUUAAUGGGUGAUGGCGUGCCUUUUGUAGAAUGAACCGGCGAGUUACGAUUUGAUGCAAGGUUAAGCAGUAAAUGUGGAGCCGUAGCGAAAGCGAGUCUGAAUAGGGCGUUUAGUAUUUGGUCGUAGACCCGAAACCAGGUGAUCUACCCUUGGUCAGGUUGAAGUUCAGGUAACACUGAAUGGAGGACCGAACCGACUUACGUUGAAAAGUGAGCGGAUGAACUGAGGGUAGCGGAGAAAUUCCAAUCGAACCUGGAGAUAGCUGGUUCUCUCCGAAAUAGCUUUAGGGCUAGCCUCAAGUGAUGAUUAUUGGAGGUAGAGCACUGUUUGGACGAGGGGCCCCUCUCGGGUUACCGAAUUCAGACAAACUCCGAAUGCCAAUUAAUUUAACUUGGGAGUCAGAACAUGGGUGAUAAGGUCCGUGUUCGAAAGGGAAACAGCCCAGACCACCAGCUAAGGUCCCAAAAUAUAUGUUAAGUGGAAAAGGAUGUGGCGUUGCCCAGACAACUAGGAUGUUGGCUUAGAAGCAGCCAUCAUUUAAAGAGUGCGUAAUAGCUCACUAGUCGAGUGACACUGCGCCGAAAAUGUACCGGGGCUAAACAUAUUACCGAAGCUGUGGAUUGUCCUUUGGACAAUGGUAGGAGAGCGUUCUAAGGGCGUUGAAGCAUGAUCGUAAGGACAUGUGGAGCGCUUAGAAGUGAGAAUGCCGGUGUGAGUAGCGAAAGACGGGUGAGAAUCCCGUCCACCGAUUGACUAAGGUUUCCAGAGGAAGGCUCGUCCGCUCUGGGUUAGUCGGGUCCUAAGCUGAGGCCGACAGGCGUAGGCGAUGGAUAACAGGUUGAUAUUCCUGUACCACCUAUAAUCGUUUUAAUCGAUGGGGGGACGCAGUAGGAUAGGCGAAGCGUGCGAUUGGAUUGCACGUCUAAGCAGUAAGGCUGAGUAUUAGGCAAAUCCGGUACUCGUUAAGGCUGAGC
rnacentral:rRNA from 1 species